UCUCGGGUCAGUCAGGGUCCGACUCAGUCUCUGCUGGUUCAGCAGUAUUGUACUAACAGGGGGGUUAAUGUGUUACUCACGUUGGGGAAUCCCCCAGUUCUACCUUCCACUUGUAGCCUAGCUUAGCAGAACUAAUCAGUGAUUUCACUCAUUGCCUGCAGGUUCUCCUGUUCUUUCAUCUCGUGUUUCUUUUCUUUCAUUCUUCCACUAACAAUAAAACACAAGCUGACAAUGCAAAGCCAAGCAACAUGUUACAAGUUGUAACUUUGGAACUUGUGAUUUCACAGAAGAGUGAGACAGGUAGUGUGUUUGGUUUCUGGAUCCAGACUAAAGACGAGUUACUUCCUGUAAUGCAGGCUCAGAGCUGUCUGCAGUCAGUUGUAGUGUUUGCACAGAAGAUAUGAUGCCAUGUAAAGCGUUCCAUCAGUCGGCUCGUGUCAGGACUCUGAAGCGGGCUGACUCUAACAACAAACUGUUAUUUAAACCUGAGACAUAACUUUUGGGAUUGUGUUCCUACAGGAUCAAUGACAAGUUGAUCACAGCUGAGAAACACACAACAUAGGACUCCAUCAAACUGGAUGUGUGAACAAACCUGCCCGAGGAAGACAGCAAGGUGAAAGAGGAGCAGCUGCACAGUGUGAAGUAUAUUUAUGGAGCUUCACCACAGAAUCAAAUGUAGUUAUUGGUAAUUGUUUGCCUGGGACCGACCUGCAGGCUCAGCUUGUAUUAGCUCAGAUCAACUGGUCCUCCUGCUGGAGAGACGAGUGGAAGAUGGAGCAGUUCAUAUCUAGAGAUUUGGUAAUGUUGCUAAAUGCCUUGUGGUGUAAUGAACUUGUAAGCUUGAACAAAGUGCAUCAACCUGUUCACCUUUCAUAAGUUCUCUUGCUGGAGUUCUGAUAUACACUUGUACUUGUUUAAACUUCAUCAGACUUCUUGUUUUUGAUACUCAUCGUCUCAUCUUAAACAUUAUUCUUCAUUUCUACAUUAAACUGCGUAUUAGUGGAAGUACUUUGUGAUUUGAAGAGAACAUUUAGUUCUCAGAGGAGACGACUCCUGAUGAUGUCAUCAAGAGAAAAGCAAUAGAAGGGAUUUUAUUUGUAUCUUUUAUCAUUUAGUUUGUAAGUUUUAUGCAUUAUGAGAACAUUGUGUUAAGAUGUUCCUUUGUUAUGGUUUGUAACUUCAUAAUGUGCUUUCCUUGUGUUUUUAUAUGCACACAUUGUAGAUGUGUUUGUCUCAGGAGUUUCCCACGCGUCCCAGCCGGGCACAGCGAGUGUUAUCAGGAGGUGUUUCAAGUCUCUCUCUCUCAGUGGGGGGCAGAGGACCAGGGCUCAGUCGCAGGUUAUUGGGCUCGUAUACUUUAUGGCACCCAACCAUCUGGGGGUACAGGGCCUGUUGCUCUGUACCAGGGGUCUCCAACUCUUCUUCAUCUGAGAGAUACUUUAACUCAUGAAUUAUUCAUGUUUACUCAUGAAGUUAAAGAAUAUAUUACAUUAUAACUUUUAAACACUAAAACUAAUAACUUUCUAACUUCAUGGUGAACUCUUUAAAGAAGAAGAACGUAAGUGUUUCUCAUUAUAAUGACAUAUUACUGAAGUUGAUUUAUUCCAGCUCUAUUUCAUAUUUCUUAUUGUUGUUAUGCAUUUAUUUGUAUUCUUCUUCUUGUUUCUCUGUUUAUGUUGAGUACAUGUCUCAUCAUGUGUGUAUUUGAAGGUUUUUCUAUUAGAAUUGAAGGAUUAAAAACAUCAUUCAUGUUCUCCUCA